AGAGAGAGAGAGAAUAUUUUCUUAUCUGCAAUUGAUGUCACUGGAACCUUAUUGAAAUUGGCUAGUAGAUUCGAUGAGUCCACAUAAUUAUGACUCUUUUGGUAAUCAUUGAAUUUGUAUGGGUUAGUUAAAAUCUUAUUGGUUCAAGCUAUCUUGGUAGACUGGCUAUAAAUAUAUACAAUUAUAAAAGUAUUGUGAUAAAUGAUCAUGAGUCAUUUUAAAAUAUUUAAUGAUUUUCAUUCAUACGAUGCGAUAUUAUUCUAAAUUGCUACUAUAACGACAUUCAUUAUAUUGAUGUUAUAUUAUAAAUUGUUCUCUUUUAAUUUUCAUAUUGCAUGCCCCAUAUCUUAUGGUUUAUACUUAAUAAAUAAUAAUUAUCUAGUUCACAUGCCAAACUCAUUUGUGGUAGUUUUUUUUUAACAGAUUCUGCCAAGUUGCUUUAUAAACUAUCAUUGUAGGAGCUGACCUCUAGACAUUAGUUAUUUCAUUAAUUUGGUAUUUAUGUUAAGUUGUGAUUCUUUUUCAGACUUCUAUUUGGCUUUGGAUUGGCUAUUACUUUGUAGUUGGUUUUGGCUAUUAAUUUGUACUUUGUUUCUUUUAUUUUCUUUCAUUUGUUGAUUUUUUAUUUCCUUAUUGAGUUAUUGUUGAAGUCUAUGUUGAUGAAAUGAAAAAUUAUUUAUGUUCUUAUACGUAUGUUUACAUAAUUUUUGCUUACAAUUAUUCAUAUAUGAAACCUUUUUUUUUUCUUGAAUACAAAACAACUUUAUUUGAUCUUGACUAUUCAAGUAAUUACAUUAAUUUAAGACGAUCAUAAUUUUUUGUAUUGAUAUGUUAACGCCUUCUGAACUCAAGAUGUAAUUGAGUAAUCAAAGAGAUUUAUUUUCUAUUCAAUAUACAUUAUUUUAUUAGUAUAGCAUUUGGAGGAUGACUCUUUCAGGUUCUUUUUAAUUAUUAUUAUGGCCUCCUACCUUUUUUGCCUAUUUAUUUUAUUUUUUUUAUUUGGCUUUGUUUUAUUUGUGCAGAAUGGCACCCAGGAGAAAGUGUUGCUGUCUCUGGCACUAGUAGUGGCCCAAGAGCUAUUGGUGAAGUUAUAUGUAUUCUUAGCGUUCCUUGUUUAAUUUCACUGAAUAGCCACAAGCCAAUAGAAUUCAUUUCUCUGUUCAAAACAGCUGCAAGCACGCAGAAAUCCCUAUAGCAGGAUCGGCACAGUUCCGCAAGGGAGGAAUUUUACAUAAUUUUUUUGUAGCCAGUUCCUACACUAACUGCGGCACUGUAGCACAGUGAAUUCCUGUGCGGUGUAGUUUGGUAGCCGAGUUAUCACAAUGGGAUUUUCUUUGAAGAUUAGAGGAAUAUUCGGCACAUUCCAAGUGACAAAGGCUGAAGAAUCAGUGAUUUUGUGUGGUAUCUUGGAGCAAUGGAAAGAAAGAGUGGAAAAAAAGAAUAAUAGAAAGGAGAUGAAAGAGGAUUCUUUGGAUAUAUGCAUAGAGAAAGUUUCGAGGUAAAUGAUUAUAUGUAUUAAUUAGUUAUAUACAAUUUAUUUGAGUAAUAAAUUUAGCACUUAAAAGAAUUAGAUGGAUAACUUGUAGGUAACUUAUAAUCGCAGAAGAGUGCGAAGUAGAGAAUUGGAGUAGACGACUCGGCAAUGAGGUAAGUAAUGCAAUUUUUUAA